UACGAAGGGUGCUAGCGUUGCUCGGAAUUACUGGGCGUAAAGGGUGCGUAGGCGGCCUGUUUAGUCAGAGGUGAAAGCCCAGGGCUCAACCUUGGAAUUGCCUUUGAUACUGGCAGUCUUGAGUACGGAAGAGGUAUGUGGAACUCCGAGUGUAGAGGUGAAAUUCGUAGAUAUUCGGAAGAACACCAGUGGCGAAGGCGACAUACUGGUCCGUUACUGACGCUGAGGCUCGAAAGCGUGGGGAGCAAACAGG
rnacentral:rRNA from 1 species